GACGAACGCUGGCGGCGUGCUUAACACAUGCAAGUCGAACGGAAAGGCCCUGCUUUUGUGGGGUGCUCGAGUGGCGAACGGGUGAGUAACACGUGUGUAACCUGCCCUUGACUUUGGGAUAACUUCAGGAAACUGGGGCUAAUACCGGAUAGGAGCUCCUGCUGCAUGGUGGGGGUUGGAAAGUUUCGGCGGUUGGGGAUGUACUCGCGGCUUAUCAGCUUGUUGGUGGGGUAGUGGCUUACCAAGGCUUUGACGGGUAGCCGGCCUGAGAGGGUGACCGGCGACAUUGGGACUGAGAUACGGCCCAGACUCCUACGGGAGGCAGCAGUGGGGAAUAUUGCACAAUGGGCGGAAGCCUGAUGCAGCAACGCCGCGUGCGGGAUGACGGGCUUCGGGUUGUAAACCGCUUUCGCCUGUGACGAAGCGUGAGUGACGGUAAUGGGUAAAGAAGCACCGGCUAACUACGUG
rnacentral:rRNA from 1 species